rnacentral:rRNA from 1 species
CCUACGGGGGGCAGCAGUUGGGAAUCUUGGACAAUGGGGGAAACCCUGAUCCAGCCAUGCCGCGUGAGUGAUGAAGGCCUUCGGGUUGUAAAACUCUUUCGACGGGGACGCGGUACCCGUAGAAGAAGCUCCGGCUAACUUCGUGCCAGCAGCCGCGGUAAUACGAAGGGGGCUAGCGUUGUUCGGAAUUACUGGGCGUAAAGCGCGCGCAGGCGGCUAUCCAAGUCAGUGGUGAAAGCCCGGAGCUCAACUCCGGAACUGCCAUUGAAACUGUUUAGCUUGAGGAUGAGAGAGGUGAGUGGAAUUCCCAGUGUAGAGGUGAAAUUCGUAGAUAUUGGGAAGAACACCGGUGGCGAAGGCGGCUCACUGGCUCAUACUGACGCUCAGGCGCGAUAGCGUGGGGAUCAAACAGGAUUAGAUACCCUUGUAGUC